GAUAGUGUGCGUGAGCUUAUGGGUGUUGGACCGGCACUGAUCGCUCCACCGGGUUCCCCAAUGGUUUGGACUUGAGCCAGGUGAAGGCCCGGGAGAUGAAGAUGAUGUCAACAUUGUGUCUCGUGAAAAUGAUGCAACUACUUUCUCCACCUACAGAUAUGAGGGAUUGCACACUUAUUAUUGGGGAUGAUGGCAUUCUGACUGACUUUCACAAACUUGUUCCAGAUAUGCCAAAUCGGAUAUCCCUUUGAAUUGGAUAAGUUCUAGAUGGAGCAUUGCACAAGGGCUGUCUGUACUGCUCCCAUUGCCACUAUCAGCAACCACAAAUACAGAGAUUUCUGCGGGAAGUUUGUUGUGAGACUUCUUACUGGAGACGUUAGCAUCAGACCCGAGGCAACUUGCUUAACUAUGACAACAAAAAUAUUUUGCGCAAUGCUCCACAGUGGUGCUGAUAUUAUACGGGAUACUCAAUAGGUAUGCCACUUCAUUU